AUGUUUUAUUCUCUCAAAAUAUAAUGAUCCCUGAUUUUCAAGAUUUGGAUUUCAGUGGAAUCAAUAAAUCUAUUUUGUUUUUGUGAUUAAAUUCAGAUUUCUUUUCACAGUCACUGUGUGUAAGAUAUAUAUGCGUUUUUGAGAAGUUAGCUUUGUUGGUUUGGUGGGUGUGUGUUAUUUAUGAGUAAGAAACCUUCCCCUUUAUGGAAAUGAAAUCACCUUUUUUACAUCUCAUCUCAUCUCAUCUCAUAUUAUCUCACCAUACCCCGAAUAAUAACACCACAGUGAAUUAUUGGUUCAAAAGGUGUUCCAGGAGGCAAAACCGACCCAUGGACUAAGUUGUGGGUUUAUUUGGAGUUGUAAUUUUAAGAUUUGGGUUAGUACAAGUCUGCGCAAACUGAAAAAAAUAGGAAAAUGCUCACCCGACCGACCACAAUUCGUCUUGCAACCGAGGUUAAGGUUCGAUUUUGAUUUAUGUUUCUCCUUAUUUGUGGAUCUACACGUUAUCCUCGAAUUUUUCUUUCUUCUAAGAUUUCAGAGUCGGGUUAUUAGCUUUUAAUCUGUUGUUUGUUUUAUCCCUGAACUUCCUGUUAUAAAAAGGUAAAAUGAUUUUUUUGCGGGUGAUUUUGUGUGCAAAUUGAUGGAGGGCAAUGGAGGGGGUCAAUUAGAUGGGAAGGUGUUGCAGACAUUUCAAAAGAGUUUUGUCCAAGUUCAAAACAUUUUGGAUCAAAACAGGCUGUUCGAUUCAACUGGAGAGAAAGA
rnacentral:lncRNA from 1 species